CUUAAGGAAGCGAUUAAGGCUCGAGGGCUCUGCCCUCAUGGAUGGGAUUAGCAUCUUAUAAAAGGUCUUGAAGUGGUGAGUCCAUAUGAGGACACAGCGUUCAUCCCCUCUGCAGGAGACAGAACGAGGCGCCAUCCUGGAAGCAGAGAGGUGUCCUCACAAGACACCAAACCUGCUGGCACCUUGACCUUGAAGUUCCCAGCCUCCAAAACUACCUAAGUAACAACUUACGGAGUAGGAGAAGUGGAUACUGCAAAAAGCUGAAGAAUUAGAGUUCACCUAGACCUGGGUUUGAAUCCUCCUCUGUCAUUUACUAGAUAAAGUUUUUAGCAAGUGUUUAACUGCUUUGCAUCUUGUUUUCCUAAGACUCAGAGUUCUGAUAUCAAGACGCAAG
rnacentral:lncRNA from 1 species